UUGCCAUGUCUUUGUAUUAAAUUACAUGACAAUCUGAAAUUCAGAUGUUUCUUCGCAGUGUGACUCUAAGCUCUGUAUUUGUCAAGAUAUCGUCUCUCUAAAAUCUGAUAUACCUUUACAACAGCAUUUAAGAAAACAUCUUUUAAACGUGGUACUUCAUAUAAGUCAUAUUUACAGAAUGUACAUCAUCACGCAACGAAAACACUUUUAACGGCUAAUAUCAUGUUACGAUACGUCACUGUCCACAGACCAGAGAUCAGACGACUGUACAGGAUAAAUAAACUCCAAUGGAAUGAAACGCAGCUGAUCUCCAAACUCAAUGAUCCCUAAAACACGGCUCCUGUUGAACUGGACUGAUGACGCACAGAAACGAGUGAAUGUGACUGGGUUUAAAAUCAGCUGCAGCCAGACGAGAU